GUUCUACGUAGCUUCCAGAGGACGAGUUCACGUGAAGGAUCGGGAUGAUUGACAGGUCGCCAUCUUUCCUGUUAGUGAGGAGAUAAAAGGAAAACGGCGUCAUGGCCUCAGGAAGAAGUUACCGUAGCGGUUCAGAAAAACGGAGGAAGAGAGACAGUCAGAGUUCUUACCUUUCAGUUUACCAAACCAAGACUUGGUGGUUCACAUGUUGCAGCUGCAGAGCCGAAUGUCGCCAUGGCCAGGAAAGUGUCUCAGAAACAAGUCAUGGAAGGUGGGAGAUUACUGGUUCUCCGGUCAGCACUGCAUCUCAGCUCUAGACCCCCAAACUUGCUUGGUGUUCCUCUGUUUGAUCGGGAGAGGAUGGAGCACAUCUGGCGGGUCCAGAAGAAGCAUGUGAAGAGCAUCCAAGAUCCACCAGGUGUUGCUCUCUGCACUAAAACUGGGAGCUGACCAAGGGAGGUGUGUGUCUGCCGGUGUUUAGGUGAACCAGAGGCUCAACUUCCUUGGAGUCUUUUCAUCUGCAGCUAAACCGCUUCAUACCAGGGAGCAGUGCCAACAGCCUGAAUGUUCAGGUUUACCUGUUGGAAGGGCUACACAGGUGGAACCAGGACCAGGUGUUGCUGCCAUGGCAACUGAGAAGUCUCCUUUGUGCUGCUACUCUGGUGAUUUGCUGCAUUCUGUCAACCAAACCUACAAGAAGCUGUUUGGCAGAAAGGUGGCGCCAGAGUUCUGUCCGUCCUCAUGUUACACAGGCGAACUCGUAGGAGUGCAGUAUCUGUUCCAGCAGACUGAUCAGGAACUGCAGGACAUGAACCCUGACUCAGAGGAGACCGCCCGGUUGGUUGAGGAGCACGAUGUGGUGCUUGAUGAGGAAGAUGAGGGCUUUUCUGACCUCACAGACGAGCCACAGUGCUGGAUAUGGAGGUUCAACCUGCUCCCAGCACCUCCUCCACGCUGGCCUCUGGCAUAUCUGAGGCUGGAGAUUCCUCACAUGAAACUGUGCUCAGUAACAGUUAUUUGCUGCUGUUUUCUACCUACUGUAUGUUCACGGAUGUUAUUGAAACUAAAGGUUUUAAAUAGUAAUUUUCCUGUUUUCUGCUUAAUAACAUUGGCAGGCUGUUGAUGAGCAGAAUGUGGCUGGAUACUAGCAUGUGGAGGAGAAAGAUCCUAAAUAGAAUUUAGGGAACUUGCUCGUCAAUAAUUGUAAAUAGUUCUGAUUGUUUGAGUGUUUAUUGUAAAUAUUGGUCUUUUUUAAAUGGUUCUUGUAUUAUUCAUUUUCUGUGUAAAAGCAACAUUUCUCAUUGUGAAGAGCGACAUUAAACACACAAUAUUAGUGAAUAAUUGUAAAUAGUUUAAUUAUUGUUUAACAGUGUUUAU